UAUGUGAUCGUCUCUCGCAUAUCAAUAAGCGGAGGAAAAGAAACUAACAAGGAUUCCCCUAGUAACGGCGAGUGAAGCGGGAAGAGCUCAAAUUUGAAAUCCUAAAGGGUUUCCCUUUACGAAUUGUAGUUUAAAGAAGUGUUUUCUGUUGAGGUUUUGGUAAAAGUUCUUUGGAAUAGGACAUCAUAGAGGGUGAGAAUCCCGUAUUUGACCUUUACUUUCAACUUUGUGAUACGCCUUUCAAAGAGUCGGAUUGUUUGGGAAUGCAGUCCAAAAUGGGUGGUAAAUUUCAUCUAAAGCUAAAUAUUGGCGAGAGACCGAUAGCGAACAAGUACCGUGAGGGAAAGAUGAAAAGAACUUUGAAAAGAGAGUUAAACAGUACGUGAAAUUGUCAAAAGGGAAGCGUUUGACACCAGUGUUGUUUUCCUGAAAAUCAAUUAAAGAACUGUUUAUGCUAAGCUGUUUAGACUUUAUCAGCUAUCUGUUUAGUUUUGAGCUUUUCUUUAAUGCACUUUUCAGUUAACAAGUCAACAUCAAUUUCUUUUGCUGUAAAAAAGCUUGAGGAAGGUGGCUUGAGAUUCGUCUUAAGUGUUUAUAGCCUCUUGCCUAUGCAGUCGGAGAGAUUGAGGUCUGCAGCGUAGAUCCUUCGGGGCUAAAUGCAUUUGUGCUAAGUUAUAGCAUUUUAUAGACAACUUGUUGACUAUGAUUUGUCUUGUAGCUUACUCGCUUAUGUUAUUUUACCUACGCUUAGGAUGUUGAGCGCAUGUCUCUCUCU
rnacentral:rRNA from 1 species